GACGAACGCUGGCGGCGUGCUUAACACAUGCAAGUCGAACGGAAAGGCCCUGCUUUUGUGGGGUGCUCGAGUGGCGAACGGGUGAGUAACACGUGAGUAACCUGCCCUUGACUUUGGGAUAACUUCAGGAAACUGGGGCUAAUAUCGGAUAGGAGCUCCUGCUGCAUGGUGGGGGUUGGAAAGUUUCGGCGGUUGGGGGUGUAAUCGCGGCUUAUCAGCUUGUUGGUGGGGUAGUGGCUUACCAAGGCUUUGACGGGUAGCCGGCCUGAGAGGGUGACCGGCCACAUUGGGACUGAGAUACGGCCCAGACUCCUACGGGAGGCAGCAGUGGGGAAUAUGGCACAAUGGGCGGAAGCCUGAUGCAGCAACGCCGCGUGCGGGAUGACGGCCUUCGGGUUGUAAACCGCUUUCGCCUGUGACGAAGUGUGAGUGACGGUAAUGGGUAAAGAAGCACCGGCUAACUACGUG
rnacentral:rRNA from 1 species